rnacentral:lncRNA from 1 species
UUACAUACAGGUUGUGGUCUCCUGCCAGUAAGUCCAUUAGGUCCAUUGUCCACUGUUGUUAUGUGAUCAAACACAUUAGUAACAGGAGAGUACAGAGUUAGACAAGAGAGAGCUUCACACACUGCUGGACACCAAAUAUACCGUUUCUAUAAUCAUAAUGUGAUUAUACUUUCUGAACUAGUUUAGCAUCUGCAGUGUGUCUUUCAUGGUGUGCAUGGAGAGUCCCAGACCUGAUCAAAGCUAGUGUGUGAGUGCCUGAGGACAUCAUGAGAGGAGCUAGACGCUGUUGAGUGGGACUUAUAUUUAGUCAAUUAUUAUUAUUUAAAUUCUUUCCAUAUAAACAUUGACAGCUAACCUUUGUAUUCUGUGAUAACCUACUUCUUAGGUUUGAACCAGGAUGUGGACAUGAAGCUAGGGUUAUUGUUUGGGCUACGGUUAAGGUUGAACCAGGAUGUGGACAUGAAGCUAGGGUUAGGGUUUAGGCUACGGUUAAGGUUGAACCAGGAUGUGGACAUGAAGCUAGGAUUAGGGUUUAGGCUACGGUUAAGGUUGAACCAGGAUGUGGACAUGAAGCUAGGGUUAGGGUUUAGGCUACGGUUAAGGUUGAACCAGGAUGUGGACAUGAAGCUAGGGUUAUUGUUUGGGCUACGGUUAAGGUUGAACCAGGAUGUGGACAUGAAGCUAGGGUUAGGGUUUAGGCUACGGUUAAGGUUGAACCAGGAUGUGGACAUGAAGCUAGGGUUAGGGUUUAGGCUACGGUUAAGGUUGAACCAGGAUGUGGACAUGAAGCUAGGGUAAUGGUUUAGGCUACGGUUAAGGUUGAACCAGGAUGUGGACAUGAAGCUAGGAUUAGGGUUUAGGGUACGGUUAAGGUUGAACCAGGAUGUGGACAUGAAGCUAGUGUUAGGGUUUAGGCUACGGUUAAGGUUGAACCAGGAUGUGGACAUGAAGCUAGGGUUAGGGUUUAGGCUAUGGUUAAGGUUGAACCAGGAUGUGGACAUGAAGCUAGGGUUAGGGUUUAGGCUACGGUUAAGGUUGAACCAGGAUGUGGACAUGAAGCUAGGGUUAGGGUUUAGGCUACGGUUAAGGUUGAACCAGGAUGUGGACAUGAAGCUAGUGUUAGGGUUUAGGCUACGGUUAAGGUUGAACCAGGAUGUAGACAUGAAGUUAGGGUUAUUGUUUGGGCUACGGUUAAGGUUGAACCAGGAUGUGGACAUGAAGCUAGAGUUAGGGUUUAGGUUAAGGUUGAACCAGGAUGUGGACAUGAAGCUAGGGUUAGGGUUUAGGCUACGGUUAAGGUUGAACCAGGAUGUGGACAUGAAGUGAGGGUUAUUGUUUGGGCUACGGUUAAGGUUGAACCAGGAUGUGGACAUGAAGCUAGGGUUAGGGUUUAGGCUACGGUUAAGGUUAAGGUUGAACCAGGAUGUGGACAUGAAGCUAGGGUUAUGGUUUAGGCUACGGUUAAGGUUGAACCAGGAUGUGGACAUGAAGCUAGGGUUAGGGUUUAGGCUAUGGUUAAGGUUGAACCAGGAUGUGGACAUGAAGCUAGGGUUAGGGUUUAGGCUACGGUUAAGGUUGAACCAGGAUGUGGACAUGAAGCUAGGGUUAGGGUUUAGGCUACGGUUAAGGUUGAACCAGGAUGUGGACAUGAAGCUAGG